UACGGAGGGGGCGAGCGUUAUUCGGAAUUAUUGGGCGUAAAGGGCGCGUAGGCGGCUGUGUAAGUCAAGGGUGAAAUCCCUCGGCUCAACUGAGGAACUGCCUUUGAAACUGCUCAGCUUGAGGCCGGGAGGGGGUGGUGGAAUUCCCAGUGUAGCGGUGAAAUGCGUAGAUAUUGGGAGGAACACCAGUGGCGAAGGCGGCCACCUGGACCGGUUCUGACGCUGAGGCGCGAAAGCGUGGGUAGCAAACAGG
rnacentral:rRNA from 1 species